rnacentral:rRNA from 1 species
GAUGAACGCUGGCGGCGUGCCCAAUACAUGCAAGUCGAGCGAACGGACGAGAAGCUUGCUUCUCUGAUGUUAGCGGCGGACGGGUGAGUAACACGUGGAUAACCUACCUAUAAGACUGGGAUAACUUCGGGAAACCGUAGCUAAUACCGGAUAAUAUUUUGAACCGCAUGGUUCAAAAGUGAAAGACGGUCUUGCUGUCACUUAUAGAUGGAUCCGCGCUGCAUUAGCUAGUUGGUAAGGUAACGGCUUACCAAGGCAACGAUGCAUAGCCGACCUGAGAGGGGGAUCGGCCACACUGGAACUGAGACACGGUCCCGACGCCUACGGGAGGCAGCCGUAGGGAAUCUUCCGCAAUGGGCGAAAGCCUGACGGAGCAACGCCGCGUGAGUGAUGAAGGUCUUCGGAUCGUAAGACGCUGUUAUUAGGGAAGAACAUAUGUGUAAGUAACUGUGCACAUCUUGACGGUACCUAAUCAGAAAGCCACGGCUAACUACGUG